rnacentral:rRNA from 1 species
GACGAACGCUGGCGGCGUGCCUAAUACAUGCAAGUCGAACGCAGUGGGGACGGGUGAGUAACACGUGGGUAACCUCCCAUCAGAGGAGGUAACACUUGGAAACAGGUGCUAAAUCCGAUACUGAUUGAUGGACCCGCGGGGCAUUGGCUAGGUGGUGGGGUAACGGCUCACCAAGGCCACGAGGGCUAGCCGGUCUGAGAGGAUGAUCAGCCACACGGGGACUGAGACACGGCCCAGACUCCUACGGGAGGCAGCAGUAGGGAAUGUUCGGCAAUGGGCGAAAGUCUGAUGGAGCAAUGCCGCGUGAGUGAAGAAGGUUUUCGGGUCGUAAAGCUCUGUUGUUAGAGAAGCGGUAUCUGACGAGAAAGCAACGGCUAACUACGUGCCAGCAGCCGCGGUAAUAC